UACGAAGGGGGGCUAGCGUUGCUCGGAAUCACUGGGCGUAAAGGGUGCGUAGGCGGGUCUUUAAGUCAGGGGUGAAAUCCUGGAGCUCAACUCCAGAACUGCCUUUGAUACUGGCGAUCUUGAGUCCGGGAGAGGUGAGUGGAACUGCGAGUGUAGAGGUGAAAUUCGUAGAUAUUCGCAAGAACACCAGUGGCGAAGGCGGCUCACUGGCCCGGUACUGACGCUGAGGUGCGAAAGCGUGGGGAGCAAACAGGG
rnacentral:rRNA from 1 species